AUACUUACCUGGCAAGGGAGACACCGUGAUCAAGAAGGCGGUUCACCCAGGGUGAGGCUCAGCCAUUGCACUCCGGCUGUGCUGACCCCUGCGAAUUUCCCAAAUGUGGAAAUCUCGAUUGCAUAAUUUCUGGUAGUGGGGGACUGCGUUCGCGCUCUCCCCUG
ensembl:snRNA U1 U1 spliceosomal RNA